UACGUAGGUGGCGAGCGUUAUCCGGAAUUACUGGGCGUAAAGCGCACGCAGGCGGCGCAUCAAGUUCGACGUGAAAGCUCCCGGCUUAACUGGGAGAGGUCGUUGAAGACUGGUGUGCUUGAGGCAAUGAGAGGGGUGUAGAAUUCCCGGUGUAGUGGUGGAAUGCGUAGAUAUCGGGGGGAAUACCAGUGGCGAAAGCGGCACCCUAGCAUUAGCCUGACGCUCAUGUGCGAAAGCGUGGGGAGCGAACGGG
rnacentral:rRNA from 1 species